AAAAUAAAUAAAAAAGACAUUUGCAAUAGUCUUAAUCGUAAAAAUAUAAGAACAUACUUCACACGAUGGGUGGGCCACUGUUAUACAUGGGAAGUUGGGUAGAGGGUAAAUUUAAUGUAUAUCUACAUUAUAUACGUAACGGUUAAUCUUUGCUAACGAAUAACAAUUCCGAAGGGAGUUCAGUUGUACAUAUUUUAAUAGGUCGUAAUAUUUACGAUUUGAAAAUAAUACACUUUAUACAUUUUUCAGUU